rnacentral:lncRNA from 1 species
GUUUGUCAUGAGGACUUUCCAUUACUCUGGGGAACUAAAUUUAUCUGAUUCAGUCCCAAGGUGCAGUGUGUACCAAACUACACUGUUACAAAGACUCCCCAGUAUUUUUUCUGAUGAGUAUAUUUUAUAACUCUCUAGGCCUUACUUUAUAAGUCAAGACAUUAAACAUUUGGGAAACCAUUAAGAAUAGGUUAGCAGAGAAACCAUUGGGAUUGGUAUAAAAAGUCUGUCUACAACUCAUGGCAGUAUUUUGCUUCGUGUAAUGGGAUAGUGAUUGUUCGCACUGCUGUGAAAUUGCUUCUUACUGAGUGAGCCAUGACAGAAUGACAUGAGAUUACAGAGUUACACUUGUGGGAAUCUGAGGUGGUGUAUGCAUAAUGAUAAAAAUCAUGAUUUUAGAAAGCAGCAAAGCUUUUCUAAGUAUUUUAGAAUAGGCUGGGUGUGGUGGUACAUGCCUGUAAUCCCGGCACUUGGGUGCCUAAAGCUGGAGGACCAGGACUCUGUAGCUGAGAUACUUAGCAAGUCCCUACCUCAAAAAUAAUAGAAACAAAGAAUAGUCUGAAUCAACUGGAUUAUAGAGGUCAGGACAGGGUUUGUCAGCCUAAGGAAAACAGCAACUUUAAACUUUAUACUGCCUGUGCAGUUAGGAUGAAAUUAUGGGAGUAACGUUUUAGGACAAAGAUGGUUGAGAGUGGAGGCACAUAUCUUUGAUCCCAGCACUCCGGAGGUGAAGGCAAGCAGAUCUCCCAAGUUCCAGGCCAGCUAUGGGGACAUAGUGAUGCCCUACUUCAACAAAGGACUGGAGAGUUGUUCUUGCAUAGGGCUUGGACUUGGUUCUAAGCACCCACGUGGUGGCUCACAGCCAUCUGUAAUUCCCGUUCCAGAAGAUCUGACACUGACCUUGGGCACCAGGUAUUCAUGUGGUACAUAUACUUACAUGAAGGCAAACAUUCAUUAAAACAAUCUGAAAAAAAAUGGGUAAAGGACUUGGCUGAUUGUGUCAUUGUGGUCGCUAUAGUUGCCUUAUCACAGACUUGUUGGCUGUAGACUCAAUGUAAUGAAAGAAAAGUUACACAAGAGGUAGCCAGUUUAACUUUUUAAUAGGCAGAAAUAAGCUUGAUUAGUUCCUACACUUUUAUGCUGUCUAACACAAGGUAUGUGUCCUGGGUAUUGGGCAAAAGCAAUGUAAAUAUUUUCUUCCCGUUUAGCUUUGACAAUUAGGUCAAGAGUGGUUGAGGAAUUAAACCCAUUUAAGUUUAUUUAGAGUCAUCUGCAAUGUCUAACCAUGCCCAGGCUUGGUAAGCACUAGUCUUCAUGACCAAGAGUGACAACUGUUGUCCUCUGAAAAGCCACUAGUUCCUUGAAUAUUCUUCUCAUCCGGGAGCCAACAGUUUUGCCCUAGUCGUUUAUGUAAGCACAUUCCUACUUAGCAUGGGCUCAUUAAGAGUCUAGCUAGUCCUUCAGACUGGGGAAGGUACACGUGGAGCUACGUUGACUAGGCUCUCUGUACUGUUGGGCCCCCGGAUUCAGGUGGGAAAGUGGAGAGGGGUGAAUGUCCUACCAGAGGUUAAGAGUGCUGUCAGAAGCAGUGCUUGAAGAGUCAAUUCUGAUUGCAACUUCAGCUAUGACUCAAAGUCUUUGAACUGUAAUGCUUGAGCCAGUCAUUCAUACUCCGAGACCUUUGAUUUAAGUUACCUGCUGUUCUAACCAUGGCAGUGGGUGCUGGGAAUCCAGAUUCCUGUCCCUGAAGAGCAGCCAGCAGUCAGUGCUCUUAAAGGCUGAGCCAAGUCUCCAGACCCUCCUGGUUCUUUAAGGUGGUCCAUAAGAUGUUGAGAGUCUAGUGGCUAUUAUCUCUCAAGGGCACCUUACCUGGUUCCUGCCUGAUGAUCUGUCCCAAGCUGUGGCUUUUAUAUGCUCAGUCCUCUUGGCUUUGGUCUGUCUUAUCCAAUGUACCAAUGGAAUCCAAGUUGGCUGCAAGUUUAUGACAGUGACAUAUUUGUGCCUUCAGCUCCCCAGACUUAAGAGCUUUUUACUAAUUCUUAGUGUUUGGAAUGGUAUGUGGGUUGCUGACUGCUGCAGAGAAUUUUCAGUUUUAAAGAAGCUUAGCUUCUGUAGCUUAAUAUUAGAUUUUCCAACACAUUCCACUUGUUUUCUGUCACUUACAUGGGUUAGACUGGACUCACUUGAGUUUGCCUCUGUUUAAAUACAAGCUGGAAAAUUGAUCUGGAGCCAUUAAAUUCACCUGUUAGCUCAUAUAACACAUAUGGCUAUUUUGAGGGGAAAAAGAAAAACCAACCAAAUAUAUCAAGAUUAAGCCAGUUAAGUCCACUUUGUAUUUUAGUGAGGAAUUAAGGCUAGAGCUAAGUUAGAGGAAAUAUAGAAAUUAAACUGCUCCAUCGAGAGAAGAGCAAUCUGUUGAGAAGCAAAACCUUUGGCUAGGGCUGCUGCUCAAUGGGAGAGGCUUGACUAGAAAGCUCUGUGUUCAAUCCAUGUGUCCUCCAAACAGAAAAGUUGGUUAUUAUGCUCAUGUAUGGUAUACAAGCACCAUUUAUAGUUGUGGCUUUGAGAACUUAAACCUGGUCUGUUUAUAGGAUUGUAUACAGAAACUGGAGUUUUGGGUUAUGUUUUUUAUAUUUGUAAAGCAAAAGUUUGAUCAAAAUGAUCAUUGUUCUUUUUAAAAACUUUAUUUCACUGUUAUUUCAAUAAAAACAUUUAAAACUGAAUGACUAA